rnacentral:misc_RNA from 1 species
GUUGAUUUCCCCCUUUUUUUGUGCAUGAUGGAUUUGAGGAUAUCCAAUGAGUGCUCCACCAUAUAAUCUAAUCUAUCAAGGUGCAAUGAUGAUGAUAUAAUUAUUGGGCUAUCAGUAAAAUUAUGUUCAGAGAAGUGGCUACAAAAAUCAUUUUAUUUUCUUGUCUUGCUGCAAAAUUUUGUUUAUAGAAUAAUUGCUAGCUGCAAAAU